CUGACAACUGGACUGGUAGAGCCAAUUUCCUUUUCUGAGGCAGAAGCAUUCCUACCAUGUCAGCAAACCUCAGUUAUUAUCUUGUCUCAUAAAUCUCCUGAGUCCAGGCUCCCCAGGGCACUGACAUCGAUUCCCUUGUUCCUUAACCCAGUAAAAGCCCUCCAGGGGCCUCAGCCAUGCCCCCCAGCCGUCAGCCUUAGGGGUUCAGCUCCCCCUCUCAGGUGUGCAUCUGAGGAACCGGCAGCAGCCUCUGUCAGACCUUAGCGAGAUGCGGAGACUGACAACCAGGGGGUUGGAGUAACUCACCCAAGGUCACACGGCGUCUAGUGGCAAGGCUCAGACCGGGCCCUCUGGGCAGAGGGCGCUUGCCUCUUCUGCCUCCAUGCUAUCUGCGGUUGGCGGAAUCCAGGGAUACGGAGUGCUGACUCUGGGACUUGAGCUUCUGCGCAUUUUGGUACCGUAGAGGGUCCUGGAACCCAUCCCCCAGGAGACCGAGGGAGACUCUCCAAAGUGUUAACGGGCAAAGCAGGCUUGGCUGGGGCUUUUCGAUGACAUCAGAGGACAAGCAGAGCCUGCUGCACAGAGGACAGUGCAGCUUCACACAGUAAGCCCAGGACGGUCACUGUGGGCUGUAGCCCCAUCACAAGGCAGAUGUCCUCAGGGGCACCAAGAAGCGGCUUGAAAAUUCCCGGCUCAGAAACAUCUGCCAAGUGGCAGCAUUCACACCACACUUGCCGUCAACGUCCUCGCUCCUCCUCCGCAGCUUCAGCCGGGCCAAGCGAGGAAAUCAAAAAUCAGAUGACUAGUCUUCACUUUGUGCAAAAAAGGAAUCCCGAUGGUAGAGCAGGUUACAUGGGGAAAAACCAGACACAAGAAUGAUGCGACACUCCGUGCUAAAUCAACGAAAUGGAACUGAACUAGACUCAAAAUGACAGAAUUUUGUAUAAGACUGGCAUCUCAACUCAGUGGGAAGAAAAUGGAUUACCUAGUAAUGGCUAGCCAUUUAAUAAAGGUCGACUUCUGCUUUAGACCACACCCAAAGUAAAGAUUUCAACAUGAAAACAAAACUUUAUAGUUCUAAAAGGUAAGGAAGUAAUUAAAAAUAAUAAUCUUGGAAGGUCUUUCUAAACAAUGCAUGAAAAUAUAAAAACCAUAAAGAAAAAUAUGGAAUAACUUGACUCUAUAAAAGUUUAUCAUGGUGGGGAGGGUAUAGCUCAGUGGUAGAGCAUAUGCUUAGCAUGCACGAGGUCCUGGGUUAAAUCCCCAGUACCUCCAUUAAAAAAAAAUGUUAUCAUGAAAACUUAGGUACGUAAAAUACUAAAUAAUAUUGAAAAGCAAAAUAGGAGACAAUAUUUUUGGUACCUAUGCAAGAGUUAAUCACAAAAUAUUUAUGGUGCUUAUAAAAAAUUUAAUAAUUAAGUAUUUACAAAUCAACAAGAAAAAUAGUUAAUAGAAAAGAGAUUAAAAAAAUGAUCAUCACGUUACAUAAGAAGAAAUGCAAAGGACCAGUAAGCCCAUGAAAAAUAUAUUUAACCUCCCUGGGAAAUGUCAAGAGUUGUGCAUUUUGUAAACAACUGAAAGUUAAUUUUUCUGGCAAAAAAUCAGCAAAGAUAAAAAUAAAAAUGUUGGCAGUGUUGCAGUGAAAUUAGUACCUUUUUUUUAUAUCACUUGUGGUCAUGUAAAUUGCUAUAACUUAUUUAGAGGGAUAUUUGGCAGAACAGAAGAAAAGCCUGAAAAGUUGACUUGUGCUAUGAUCCAGAAAUUCUACUUGUAGGAAUAAAUCUGAAGGAAAUAAUCAUGAUUUUGUGCAAAGCUUUUGCUAUUAGAAUGUUGAUCAAAGCAUUUCUAUGAUAACUAGAAAUUGGAAACAGCUUGUCUCUAACAAGAGGGGAUUGUUAAAGCUACCAUGGUGUGUGGUGUAUGAUAGAACUUCAUGUAACCUUAACAUGUUGUAGAAAAAAAUUACAUUUCAUGUCAUGGAACAGUAUUCACUACUAUCUUGUUAAGAAAAAAAGUAGCUUUCACAUGGUAAUAUUAUAAAUUAUAUGUUAUAUAUACAUAGAAAAAGACAGUGGAA